rnacentral:rRNA from 1 species
CCAGACUCCUACGGGAGGCAGCAGUCGGGAAUAUUGCGCAAUGGAGGAAACUCUGACGCAGUGACGCCGCGUAUAGGAAGAAGGUUUUCGGAUUGUAAACUAUUGUCCACAGGGAAGAAAAAAGACUGUACCUGUGAAGAAAGCUCCGGCUAACUACGUGCCAGCAGCCGCGGUAAUACGGAGGAUCCGAGCGUUAUCCGGAUUCAUUGGGUUUAAAGGGUGCGUAGGUUGUUUUAUAAGUUAGCGGUGAAAUACCGAUGCUCAACAUCGGGGCUGCCGCUAAUACUGUAGGACUAGAGAUCGGAUGCAGCAGGCGGAAUGUGUAGUGUAGCGGUGAAAUGCAUAGAUAUUACACAGAACACCGAUUGCGAAGGCAGCUUGCUAGGCCGGAUCUGACACUGAUGCACGAAAGCGUGGGGAUCGAACAGGAUUAGAUACCCCAGUAGUU